GACGGGGGAUGCAAGCGUUAUCCGGAAUCACUGGGCGUAAAGCGUCUGUAGGUGGUGAUGCAAGUCACUGGUGCAAAACUCUGGCUCAACCGGAGGAAAGCCAGUGAAACUGCAUGACUAGAGUGUGGGAGAGGUAGAAGGAAUUCCCUGUGUAGCGGUGAAAUGCGUAGAUACAGGGAAGAACACCGGAGGCGAAAGCGUGCUACUGGGCCACAACUGACACUGAGGUACGAAAGCUAGGGGAGCGAAUGGG
rnacentral:rRNA from 1 species